GGUGAGGUAAUGGCCCACCAAGGCGACGAUGCAUAUCCGGGCUGAGAGGCUGAACGGACACACUGGGACUGAGACACGGCCCAGACUCCUACGGGAGACAGCAGUUAGGAAUAUUCGUCAAUGGAGGAAACUCUGAACGAGCAAUGCCGCGUGAGCGAUGAAGGCCCUAUGGGUCGUAAAGCUCUGUUGUAAAGGAAGAAUACUUGAUAUAGGAAAUGAUAUCAAGCUGUACGGUACUUUACCAGAAAGCCCCGGCUAACUAC
rnacentral:rRNA from 1 species